rnacentral:tRNA from 1 species
GGGCUGGUAGUUUAGUUCGGUAGAAUACACGGCUGGCAGCCGUGGGAUCCUGGGUUCAAAUCCCAGCCAGUCCA